GCGGAGGAAAAGAAACUAACAAGGAUUCCCCUAGUAGCGGCGAGCGAAGCGGGAAGAGCUCAAAUUUAUAAUCUGGCACCUUCGGUGUCCGAGUUGUAAUCUCUAGAAAUGUUUUCCGCGUUGGACCGCACACAAGUCUGUUGGAAUACAGCGGCAUAGUGGUGAGACCCCCGUAUAUGGUGCGGACGCCCAGCGCUUUGUGAUACAUUUUCGAAGAGUCGAGUUGUUUGGGAAUGCAGCUCAAAUUGGGUGGUAAAUUCCAUCUAAAGCUAAAUAUUGGCGAGAGACCGAUAGCGAACAAGUACCGUGAGGGAAAGAUGAAAAGCACUUUGGAAAGAGAGUUAACAGUACGUGAAAUUGUUGGAAGGGAAACGCUUGAAGUCAGACUUGCUUGCUGAGCAAUCGGUUUGCAGGCCAGCAUCAGUUUUCCGGGAUGGAUAAUGGUAGAGAGAAGGUAGCAGUUUCGGCUGUGUUAUAGCUCUCUGCUGGAUACAUCUUGGGGGACUGAGGAACGCAGUGUGCCUUUGGCGGGGGUUUCGACCUCUUCACACUUAGGAUGCUGGUGGAAUGGCUUUAAACGACCCGUCUU
rnacentral:rRNA from 1 species